UAUUUAAUGGUGUGUGAGCACGGAAAAUUUUGAUUUUUCAGGUUUUGGUUCGCCAUUUUAGAUAA
rnacentral:tRNA from 1 species